GUAAGCAUUGAGUGUUCGCUGGCACAGCGCCGAGCGCACACAAUCCUCUUUGCCAAAGCGGACAAUACCGACCAUUUCAUCUUCACUGAAGCGCGCCAGCGCAUCGCUUAAUCCAGACUGAACGUGCGCGGGUAAAUCGCAUUGGGUGAUAUCCCCAUUCACAAUGACCGUCACGUUCUCCCCGAGGCGAGU
rnacentral:antisense_RNA from 1 species